rnacentral:misc_RNA from 1 species
UCCUGUUGGGUUACACUUAAGUGUUUAAAAAUAAUCUGAUUCUGAAAAAUCUUCAUGAAUAAGAAUUGCGCAUAAAAUCAGAAGAAUGAUUCGCCAACUUUUACAAGGAAAAAUAUUAAUGAUUGAAGAAGUAUCCUAAUAAAAAGAACAGCUGCAUAUCCUGCUCGCACUACGAAGAAUUUGGGCAUCAAAAUUAUUGAUGUUAAGAUGCUGUCUUUCCAUUUCAGAGUUCGCUAAUCCGAAGAUGGUGAUGUUGACUUGUAUUUUUUAUAGAAAACUAUUAUUAUAGAUUGCUUUCCUGAAGAUACAUGUACAGCUUGCUGGUAUCCAGAUCUACUUUAACAUCAAGUUUAGAGAAAUGAUCAGUUUUUCCAUUUUUCAAGCUUCUAAAGUCUGACGAAUAUCCAAUUUCCUUUUUACAAAUUGAAGACCUACUUAGGUGAAGCAAUAUUGAAAAGGGCAGGUUACAUGGAUUCCAAGAGUGUUUGAUGCAGUUAUCUUAAGUUUGAAACUAAAGUAAACAAAUUAAGUAAGUUUGCUUUUUUGCCCUGAUAUUCCUGAUUGUUGUGUAUGUUCAGAACAGCCUAUUUUCUAAGAAGACAAACACUGAUUUUUAAAAAAAAUAGAUUGAAGAAUUGAGAGCUUUAGAUUUUUGAUCCAACAUUUUUGCUGUUGUUGAUCCAAUUGGUUAUUUCAAUUUGGAAGUUUCUAUUGAUGAUUCUUUUGCAUCAUCAAAUGUUUAUGUUUUACUAAAUAUAACACAUAAGUUCAUCAUUGGUAUGGUCGUUUAACAUCAUUUAAGAUUUCUGUCCUGUUUAGAUGAAAUAAAAAUAUUAGAAUUACAUAAAAAUAUUAGGAUUAAAUAAAAAUAUUAGAAUUAAUUUAAAAAGUGUAUAUAUAUGUGUAUAUAAAAUAUAUAAAAAGUAUUUUCUUUACAAAAUUGGUUAUUUAAACAAAAUGUAACAUUACACAGUCAGCAAUUAACUGUGAAUGUAAUAAAAUUUUAAUAUUUACUAAAUGUUCUUGUAUUUACUUCAAAAAGUUUAGGAGUUCAUUAAAAUUUUAUUUUUUCUCUUGUCUUUUUUAUUUAGAAUUCAUUUGCUUAUACUACAAUUGUCUAAUUUAGUAAGAAUUUUUAAAUGUUUACUACAUGGGUGUUUCUCCAAAAACAUAACAAUAUCAUGUCCAAACAAAUUAUCACACAAUUAGCUUGAGGUAGAUAGCUUUUGUUUUUUAUACUUUUAAUACAUUGUUUUUCCCAUGCGGUUUCGUGCAGAUAAAAAAGUUUAUUCAUUUACAAAUUCCUUAAAAAGUUUUUAAAAUUAUCUAGCAGUUGCUCUCCUCUCCUGUCUAAAAAUUUUUUUAAAACUUAUUAAACAUUUCAUUUAUUAAAGUAGUAUUAACAUAUUAUAUUUUUGAAGAUGUAAAAUAAUAUAUAUAUAUUUUUAAUUCGUUUAAUUUUUUAACUCACCGAGUUGAUUUGAAAGUUUGCCCAAAGAUUUUCAUGUAUGUCUCCUGGCCCAGAAAUUUUUUUAAAUUUUUAGUCUUGUGCCUGCAACACUAUAUAUUUAUUACCACCAUUCUGCUGAAUUGAUGGAGUGCUUUGAAGAUCUGAUUCACCUGAUGUUCUUAUCAUAGCUUUAAAGUUCUAUACUAAAGUGUGUAACUGUUUCUGCUGCUAUUCUCCUGUGUACAACAGCUUUAUUAUACAUAAUAUUUUUUUAAAAAAUUACCUAUUACAAUGUGUAAUAAUGUGGUGAGUCUAUAGAAAAAGUUUCUUAUAAAUAGAACCUGAUUUUUUCUAAAAAAAAAAUACUCUCCUGCAUUUUUUAAAUUAAAUUAUUGACUUAUCAGCCAAUAUCAUCAAUUAAAUGAUUGAUUGCAAAUUUAUUCAAGGUAUAUUCUUAAUUCGAAUGAUUAUAUUCUAGUAUUAUAAAGCUGAUUACUCCUACAUUGUCAUUAAACAUCAAAUGUCAUCAAUUAAGUGAGUUCCUUUUAUUAUUUUUUUUCUUGUUAACUGCCGUAUAUAGAGCACAUAUGAAUUUUUUAGAUUUUUUUUUUUUAAAGUACUUUUAGUUUUUAAAAAUUUGUAAUUUGAAGAGGUCAAGUUUUUGGAGAAUCACCCUCAUAUUACUUUAUUGAUUAGAAUGAAUUGAUCAAAACAAACUACUAGGAAAACUGCAACAUCGUGGAAUAUGGAUUACACCAGUAAUAUUUUUCAAUUUAAAUGCAAUACAGUUCCAUGUCUUAGCAGAAAAUUCCUUUUAAAAAAUGACAUUUAUUAUGAGAUAUUGUCCCGAAAUACAUAUUUUGCAUCCAAUCUAAUUUGUGUUUUCAUUGCCAAUGUAUUUUUAUUUUGUUUUUUUAAUAUGCUUUUCUUCAUUAUCAAACAGUACCAAUUUCUAUUCUAAUAUGAAGAAAUAUAUUUUUCUGACUAAAAGUUUUAAUGCAUUAGUUUAACUUAAACUAAUUUGUAGUAGCUUGUGAAAUAUAGUUUUUUUUUUUUGCAUUAUCACUAUUAAUUUUAUUUUUGUAUCCCUGUCAAAUAUAAAGUAAAAUGAACUAUUCACAUUAGCGAUGUAAGUGAAGAAAAAAUUUAAAUUUUAUCAAAAUUUAAAGAAAUUUUUAUUUGCUUGAUUAGCAAGGUAGGAAGGAAUAAAAACCUGUUUGCCUUUAAGAAAUAGAAAGGAUUUGAAAAGCAAUUAUUAGAAACAUUUUCAAGUUUGUUUCAUCCAGCAGUAAAACUUGUUUUGAUAUUUUGAAUCCCAUUUACCUCAAAAAUGAUUCGUUUAAAUGUGUUAGUAUUUUUUUUCUUGCUUAAAUAUUAGUUUAUGACUCUUGAUGUGCAAAAUUUUUGAAAAAGAAAUAGCAAGAUUACAGAACACCUUGUAUAAUAUGUAAUGGUAAAAAAGUGAUGUAAUUUUACAAAUGCUCAAUCCUUUUUUUUUUUUAAUUAAAAAAACAUUGUGUUAAUUCCAGUGUUUAUUGUCACUCUUCCUGCAUCUGUUUAUAUCCUAGAUACAUAAAGCCUAUCUUCCUAGAUACAUAAAGCCAAAAUCAGAAACCCACAGUCAUUGGAAAGUGUAUCUUUUUCAGUGCCUUUCAGUUUUGACUUCUACCAGAAUGGAAGUGAUUAAUCUGACUUUUCAUUUUUAUCAGGGUUUUCCUUUCCUUUAUAUUUAGGUGAAUCUUAUUUAUAUAAGUUUAUUAAAAAUUUACACCUUAUACAUCUGUUUGGUUCCUUGGGAUAAGUUGAUUGAAUGAAUCCUCUAUAGUUUUAAUCUUCAUAGUUUCUGGCAUUAAAAUUUGUCUUUUCUUUCUAUUGAGGUUCUGAGAUUUUAAUAACCAUUUGAAAAGAUGUGAGUAGCAUCAAUUCUUCAUUAAAGAAUUCUGUUAAGUGUAAUCAAUUGUUUUGUCCCCUUUCUUCUUCUAGUGAAUAAUAGCACUGCUUUUCACACAUGUAUUGUUGAUAUACAACUUUCUAUUUGUUUCAGUUCUGAAGGAUUGAUCCACAGACUGAUGUUAUCUUUUAAAUUUUUCUCAUCUUUAUUUUACUAAACAAGUUUAGCUUUGGUUAUCUCUUUAUUUGCAAUUAACUGGUUUAAAACUUUUAAAUUUCUUUGUUCUUCAUUAAUUCUGUUAUUUAGAUUUUCUAGGUAUUGUUUUUGUCCUUAUUUCUUCCUUCUGUUUUACACAAUACAUCAGCUAUCAUAUUCAUGAUGGCAUUUUGAUUUAAUCAUUUUAUUCAUUUAUCCCAAACAAAGACGGGGGCCAACGGGGGAAUUUUAGAGACACUGAGCUAUACUAAUUCAUCCCAAGUCAUUUUCGAAUCUGCAACUUCUCCAAAGUUUAACCGGAUAUUUUCCAAUCAUAUUUAAUGUGGUAGCACAAUUUAUGUUUUUAGAUUCAGUUUAAAUAGUUUUAACCACCACGACACUUAAAUAAUUCAUAUUAAACUUAGUCUUCUAUAUAAAAUACUUGAUAAUUAGGUUCAGAAUUUUUUAAAUGAUGGCCAAAUGUUAAAUUCAUUUGGUUACAUAAUGAUUAUUUCUCUGCCACUUUAUUAUUGGUUUUAAAUAAAAUUAAGAAGAAAGACAUAUAAUUUAACUAUAGUUAUGUAUCUUAUAUAAUUUAAUUUUGUAUUAUUAAAAAAAAGGCAAGUAAAUAUUUUAAAGGGAAGAAAAAGAAUACCUAAAAUAUUGAUAUUGAAAAAUAGACAAAGGCAUUGUGCUGAUUUGAGGUUGUUUCAAUGUCGAUGAGAUCUCCAAUAAUUACUAAAAUUUCUUUAAUACAUAUUGAACGAUUUUCCAACUCUUUGUAAUGUUUGUCUGCAAGAAAAUGCCGCUAAAAAGAAUGUUCAUAAGUUAUGAAAAAUAAAAAUAUUCUGAUACAUAU